GGCUAAGUUGAAGAGCCCGCUUCCACCUAGGUCUCCCUCUUCUAACCCACUUAAGCGGAAGGUAUGAAGACCGUUCCUGAGAAUUCCAUCUCUGGAUUGUCUGAUUCGGGUAUGAAGGUGGUAGUGCGCUUGCUGCCGCCAUCCAAGGACGGAGAUGAAGGGGAUAAUAUAAUACAAAAGGUUAUGUGUCGAUGAAGUUAGCGGACAGUGGGCAGAUGCAGAUGAAUUCUUUAAUGAGGAACAGGCUAUGUGAAAGAGACCAGGCUAUUCGCAAACUGGAAAGGGAAAUAGAAGAUAAAGAUAGGGAAUUGCAAUCAAUUAAAUUAGACAACGACGCAGCUUGGGCCAAGGAUGAUCUUCUGCGGGAACAA